UAAGUGAAAUCAUAAUUAACGAGCAAUGGGCACGCUUGGUCGUGUCGAAAGAUUCGUUGAUGGUAUCCGCUGUUGUCAGUACGAAGUAGAAAGAGUAGGAUGUGGUAUCGUACAACGUUAUGGUAUUUCUCGUGGCUACGAUUUCAUGAGAAAAUUGUUGUAAUAAUGAAUGAAUUUUGUUGAGGGACAUGCAGUAUACUGUAUCACGCGAGUGUAGGACAAGUUAACCUAAAGCAGUGUCUGUGGCUUUGUCGAAAGUGAAGUGUAAAAGUGCGCGGGACUCGCAUUGAGAGCGAGUACCAAGAAGUUUUAGUGUCGUGGGAUAUGCACACACAUGUCAAGAUGUCGUCAGGAGGACAUAGCAGUCGUACUCGAGCCGUACACAUAGGUUCAAUAUUCCAGAAACUUCACGGUCGGUUUGCUGAUCCUAUGACACUGCCGAAACUUUCGACCGACAAGCGAAUGCUUGAUAAGACCUGGAAGCUUAUGGACAAAGUAGUUAAAUUAUGUCAACAUCAAAGGAUGAAUUUAAAAAAUUCACCACCAUUCAUCCUGGACAUUCUACCAGAUACGUAUCAACGAUUGAGACUGAUAUAUAGCAAAUAUGAAGAUAGGAUGCAAGUGUUACAUAGUAACGAACAUUUUUGUGUUUUCAUUAAUAAUCUUAUGAGAAAGUGCAAGCAAGCAAUUAAGUUAUUCAAAGAAGGCAAAGAAAAGAUGUUUGAUGAGACUUCACAUUAUCGUAGAAAUUUGACUAAACUCAGCCUUGUAUUUAGUCACAUGUUGUCCGAAUUGAAGGCUAUUUUUCCAAACGGAGUAUUUGCCGGACAUAAAUUCCGUAUUACUAAGGCAGAUGCAGCUGAAUUCUGGAAAGAAAGUUUUGGAAUCAGUACAUUGGUUCCAUGGAAAGUAUUCAAAGAUAAGUUGAACGAAGUUCAUCCAAUAAGUUCUGGAUUACAAGCCAUGGCAUUAAAAUCUACGAUAGAUCUCACAUGCAAUGAUUAUAUUUCUAAUUUUGAAUUUGAUGUAUUUACAAGGUUAUUCCAACCAUGGUCUACACUUCUCCGUAAUUGGAAAAUUCUAGCUGUAACACAUCCUGGAUAUGUAGCUUUUCUAACUUAUGAUGAAGUGAAAGCACGUUUACAAAAAUAUUGUAGUACUAGACCUGGAAGUUAUGUAUUCAGAUUAAGUUGUACAAGGUUAGGACAAUGGGCUAUUGGUUAUGUCACAUCAGAUGGCGAUAUCCUUCAAACAAUACCUCACAAUAAAAGUCUUUGUCAAGCAUUGCUAGAUGGAUAUAGAGAAGGAUUUUACUUAUAUCCUGAUGGUCGUAAUAUAAAUCCAGACUUAACAUGGGCAGUUCAACCUACUCCUGAAGAACAUAUAAAAGUAACAGCAGAACAAUAUGAAUUAUAUUGUGAAAUGGGUAGUACAUUCCAAUUAUGUAAAAUUUGUGCAGAAAAUGACAAAGAUGUGAGGAUAGAACCUUGUGGACAUCUUCUUUGUACUCCAUGUCUUACUGCUUGGCAGGAUUCUGAAGGACAGGGUUGUCCGUUUUGUCGAGCUGAAAUUAAAGGAACUGAACAAAUAGUAAUUGAUCCAUUUGAUCCACGAAGAACACAUCGACCAGGAACGCAAUCGGCAUCUGCUAGUAAUGCAUCGACUCCUACGCGGGACCUUGACCCGGACACCGAGCCGAAGGAAACAUAUUUUGAUUCGUUUAAUGCAGGAAAUCAUGGAUUUAUGUAACGGACAUUGUGGACUAAUGUGUUACGACUCAGACGAAGAAGAAGAUUCUAGUCCAACAAAUUCACCAAUUUCGACGCGAAGAAUUGUACCAAGUCCACCACUACCUCCUCGACGACCUUCUCCAUCACCCACGCCGAAUAGUCAUUCGAGAAAUGGUCGUCAUUUGACUGUUCCGAAAGAGAAUGCUCCACCACCGCCGUUAUCAACAAUUAAUACAGCAUUCAAUUCUAAUACCGAUAAUCAACAAAACAAUAAUAUAAAUUCUGAAGCAGGAUACGAUAUGCUACAUCGAGCCUCUUCACCUUCUCCAGUGCCAUUGAUACCUCCACUUACAAUGGCCAGAACUCAUAUUCGUCGAUCACAAGGAAAUCACUUAAUCACAUCACAACUACAACCACCACCAACAUUACCUGAAAAGCCGAGCCGUGCCAGCGGAUCUUCGACAACGAUCUCUCAAAUUACAUCUAGCAAUAAUGUGCCACCAGUUCCGCCUCCAUUAUCAGUACCACGACCACC
rnacentral:misc_RNA from 1 species